GACGAACGCUGGCGGCGUGCCUAAUACAUGCGAGUCGAACGAGAGCGACCGGUGCUUGCACUGGUCAAUCUAGUGGCGAACGGGUGAGUAACACGUGGGUAACCUGCCCAUCAGAGGGGGAUAACAUCCGGAAACGGAUGCUAAAACCGCAUAGGUCUUCGAGCCGCAUGGCUUGAAGAGGAAAAGAGGCGCAAGCUUCUGCUGAUGGAUGGACCCGCGGUGCAUUAGCUAGUUGGUGAGGUAACGGCUCACCAAGGCCGUGAUGCAUAGCCGACCUGAGAGGGUGAUCGGACACAUUGGGACUGAGACACGGCCAAAACUCCUACGGGAGGCAGCAGUAGGGAAUCUUCCGCAAUGGACGCAAGUCUGACGGAGCAACGCCGCGUGAGUGAAGAAGGUUUUCGGAUCGUAAAACUCUGUUGUUAGAGAAGAACAAGUGCUAGAGUAACUGUUAGCGCCUUGACGGUAUCUAACCAGAAAACCACGGCUAACUACGUG
rnacentral:rRNA from 1 species